GCAAGUCGAGCGGUAGAGAGAAGCUUGCUUCUCUUGAGAGCGGCGGACGGGUGAGUAAUGCCUAGGAAUCUGCCUGGUAGUGGGGGAUAACGUUCGGAAACGGACGCUAAUACCGCAUACGUCCUACGGGAGAAAGCAGGGGACCUUCGGGCCUUGCGCUAUCAGAUGAGCCUAGGUCGGAUUAGCUAGUUGGUGAGGUAAUGGCUCACCAAGGCGACGAUCCGUAACUGGUCUGAGAGGAUGAUCAGUCACACUGGAACUGAGACACGGUCCAGACUCCUACGGGAGGCAGCAGUGGGGAAUAUUGGACAAUGGGCGAAAGCCUGAUCCAGCCAUGCCGCGUGUGUGAAGAAGGUCUUCGGAUUGUAAAGCACUUUAAGUUGGGAGGAAGGGUUGUAGAUUAAUACUCUGCAAUUUUGACGUUACCGACAGAAUAAGCACCGGCUAACUCUGUGCCAGCAGCCGCGGUAAUACAGAGGGUGCAAGCGUUAAUCGGAAUUACUGGGCGUAAAGCGCGCGUAGGUGGUUUGUUAAGUUGGAUGUGAAAUCCCCGGGCUCAACCUGGGAACUGCAUUCAAAACUGACUGACUAGAGUAUGGUAGAGGGUGGUGGAAUUUCCUGUGUAGCGGUGAAAUGCGUAGAUAUAGGAAGGAACACCAGUGGCGAAGGCGACCACCUGGACUAAUACUGACACUGAGGUGCGAAAGCGUGGGGAGCAAACAGGAUUAGAUACCCUGGUAGUCCACGCCGUAAACGAUGUCAACUAGCCGUUGGAAGCCUUGAGCUUUUAGUGGCGCAGCUAACGCAUUAAGUUGACCGCCUGGGGAGUACGGCCGCAAGGUUAAAACU
rnacentral:rRNA from 1 species